rnacentral:rRNA from 1 species
GAUGAACGCUGGCGGCGUGCCUAAUACAUGCAAGUCGAGCGAACAGACGAGGAGCUUGCUCCUUUGACGUUAGCGGGGGACGGGUGAGUAACACGUGGGUAACCUACCUAUAAGACUGGGAUAACUUCGGGAAACCGGAGCUAAUACCGGAUAAUAUUUCGAACCGCAUGGUUCGAUAGUGAAAGAUGGCUUUGCUAUCACUUAUAGAUGGACCUGCGCCGUAUUAGCUAGUUGGUAAGGUAACGGCUUACCAAGGCAACGAUACGUAGCCGACCUGAGAGGGUGAUCGGCCACACUGGAACUGAGACACGGUCCAGACUCCUACGGGAGGCAGCAGUAGGGAAUCUUCCGCAAUGGGCGAAAGCCUGACGGAGCAACGCCGCGUGAGUGAUGAAGGUCUUCGGAUCGUAAAACUCUGUUAUUAGGGAAGAACAAACGUGUAAGUAACUGUGCACGUCUUGACGGUACCUAAUCAGAAAGCCACGGCUAACUACGUG